GACCACCGCUGCUGAGACAUAUGUACGGAACACCUGUCGCAUGUUUCUGGGCUCCAUUGUUCCUCAUGCGCUGCUGUUGCUGCUGCGUCUCACACAACCUGUUCCCGGAACAUCAACCCUCAGUACGAGUCAGAUCCAGCCCCGAUUAUAUGCAGGAUGCCAGCUGGCAGACAGAUGGUGGUGGCUUUACACGUUUUUAUUUAAAGACACAUCAGAAGGAAGAGGAGGGUGAGGCAAGCGAACAGCUGUAGCGAGUGGGACAGGACGGUAUAUGCUGGUCAAAGUGACGAGCAGCCUGCACAAUGAGAGAAAAGAACGAAAAACAAACACUAGAAACUUUCCCCAAAUGCACCAGAGAGCACUUGUACCCUAAAUAUGGCCCCGUGACUAUAUCACAAUUAGAAUUUUAUGAUCUAUUGUUUUUACACAUGUAUUGAAUUUGUUGUACGAAACGCUCUGUCUUUGGAGAACAGUAAUAAGGACGUUAAAGCGCUGUCUUCCUCAGUCUGAGCGGCGCUGCUGGCGUUCUCCGUGUCAUACCAUAGACCUGGGGCCUCGUGCCCUUUAACGGCGUUAGUCUCAGCGGGAGGGGGGCUUAUUAACCGCAGUCUCGUUAAACCUUUUCACUACAGCACAGCAGUGCUACCUACGACUAACUGCGCAAGCCAUGAGAUCUAGAAACACUGUGUGGAACAUUUGCAUUGUUAUAAUAAUUAGAAUUUCUUUAUUUCGACUCUUUACAAAUCCUGCUAUUUUACACACAUAAAAUGUAUUCAAGUGCACAGUAUCUCCCAGGCAAACAGCUGCUUCAGUGUGAGUCCUGCGCCUUUGCACUUGAGACCAGAGAACAAACGGCCUGUGAGAGGGGCAUGCCAUAUGCAAAAUACAUAAGUUCAAUUAAAUAAAACAAACACCAAAACAAUAGCAAACAAAGAGUUGUGGAUGGUAUUAAAUUAUGCAGAUAUCAUCGUUAUUGUGAUCGCACAUGAUAUACAGCUUUGAAAAUGAUGACUUUGUUGCGUAAAAGGUAGAAAUACACUCCAAUGUUCAGUGCUACAAUAAUGUGACUCGUAUAGAUUUAAUUACCACUAAUUCCUCUACUACUAUGGGGAAACCAUGGUAAUAACAAUAAAACCUCACACUCACACGCUUACAUACUGUCGCGCACACACACACAUACAAGCAAACUAUACUGGUGUUAGUUCAGUUUUGAACUUUUUAUUCUUUAUUUCUCCUUUUUAUUUUCUUUUUAAAGGAAGCUUUUAAUCAAAGAGCAUUUUUGUUCAUAUAUAGUUUUUACAGAAGAAAAUACUAUACAACCUUUUUUUUUUUUUUCUUCCUGAAACAAUAUUGUCGAAGAUAACCAUCUACACAUUUAGUUGCCUAUAUUAUGAUCAAAGCCGUGUUUAGGAAAUAAUUCAUAAUUUCCUCGCCUCGCUUUUCCUUGUUUAUAUUCAAUGGAGGCCAAGCAAACAAAAAUCAUUUUUCUCUCUCUUUUUUUUUUUUUUAAUUUGGAGCGAAGCACUGCAAUAAUUUCCUCUGUAUAGAAUUCAUUUAAAUUACAGUCAUCAUUAGUGUUACUCGUUAGACAAGCCAGGUUCUAGCAUGCCUGUUUCAUAUUGAAAUCAUCCAAUCUUGGAAGCGAAGAAAAAACUUUUUUUUUUUUUUUUUUUUUUUUCUUUUUUUUUCUUAAAUAAAA